rnacentral:rRNA from 1 species
GGUUUUUAGAAAUUAUUAAAAAUCAAACCUGCUCAAUGCCUAGUAAAUAGCCGCGGUAUCCUGACCGUGCAAAGGUAGCAUAAUCAUUAGCUUUAUAAUUGAAGGCUAGAAUGAAUGGUUUAACUGAAUUACUUUGUCUUAUAAUAAUAUCUUUAAUUUCAUAUUCUAGUAAAAAAGCUAAAAUGUUAUUUAGGGACAAGAAGACCCUAUUGAGCUUUACAAAAAAAUUUUAUUUAUUCAUAAAAUAAAUUAAUUUUGUUUUACUGGGGCAGUAAGAAAACAAAAAUUUUUACUUAAAUAUUGUGAAUUAUAAAUCUUGCCAAAUCAAAAAUUUUUUAAUAAAAAACAAGUUACCGUAGGGAUAACAGCGUAAUUUUUCUUCAGAGAACAUAUUUACAGAAAAGUUUGCGACCUCGAUGUUGGAUUAAGAAUCCUAUUUCACGCAACAGUGAAAAAAGGAAGUCUGUUCGACUUUUAAAGUCUUCCA